ACUCCUACGGGAGGCAGCAGUCGAGAAUCUUCCGCAAUGGACGAAAGUCUGACGGAGCGACGCCGCGUGGAGGACGAAGGCAUUAGUGUUGUAAACUCCUGUCACGAAUUAUGAAUGCCGUAUGGUCAAUAGCCAUGCGGUUGACGUAAGUUCGAGAGGAAGCACCGGCUAACUCUGUGCCAGCAGCCGCGGUAAUACAGAGGGUGCAAACGUUGUUCGGAAUUACUGGGCAUAAAGCGCACGUAGGCGGCCGAGUGAGUGUGAAGUGAAAUCCCACGGCUUACCCGUGGAACUGCUUUGCAUACUGCUUGGCUCGAGGACGGUAGGGGAGAGCGGAACUCUUGGAGGAGCGGUGAAAUGCGUAGAUAUCAAGAGGAACACCGAUGGCGAAGGCAGCUCUCUGGUCCGUUUCUGACGCUGAGUGCGAAAGCUAGGGUAGCGAACGGGAUUAGAUACCCUGGUAGGCUC
rnacentral:rRNA from 1 species